GUGAACUCCUCUGCGCCUGUUGUCGGUCCGCUCGUUUCCUCGGUGAACUGCAGCAUCCUCUGCAUACAUACAUGACCCAUAACCCGGAGAGGAGGUGGGCGGCUGGGUGCGAAGCGCGGCGUCUGCAGCAUAAUUAAAACAUGGCGGACUCGGAGGAAUAUAGACUUAAACGAUUAAAGCAUGAGGAGCACAUGUCCAGGGUGUUUGACGAGGUGAUGGGGCUGGGAGACUUCGCCGACUCCUCCAGGGGCUCCAAUGCAUCCUCCAAGAGUGGUGAACAGGACGAGACGAAGGGAGUGGACCAAACUUCAGGACAAGAGGAGCAACAACCCAUGGAGGAGGAGGAGGAGGUAGAGGAGGAGAAUAGCAACUGCAGCAGGAAAGAAGAAAAGAUAGACAAAGGGGCGGGCGAGUCAUCACUUCCUCGCAUUGCCUCGCCCACCUCUGACCCACAGGAUUCUUUUAAAAUGGGGAGCAGCGACGGGGGAGGUGGACGAGGAGGAAGCGGGGCGGCAGCGUUUGAUGACGCGCUGGAUGGCCUUCCUUCAUUUGGGCAGGAGGAAGAUGAUGAAGACUGGCACUUUGCCCUGCCCAUGGGCACCCUGGAGGAUGUAGACGUGGAUAAGGCCGGCAGGAAAAGUACCCAGCAGGCGAACAGCGAAGCUCCGAGCAAUACCUUCGGUUCUGAGCCAAAAGUAGGGGAGGAGGAGGAAGAGGAGGAGGAGCAAGAAGAGAGGGCAGGGAGCACCGGUUCCGCCAACACCUUCCACUCGUCACAAGACAACAGCAGAGAUGCAGGCGUCUUGAACCAGACAGAGGAGACG
rnacentral:lncRNA from 1 species